rnacentral:rRNA from 1 species
CCUACGGGAGGCUGCAGUGGGGAAUAUUGCACAAUGGGGGAAACCCUGAUGCAGCGACGCCGCGUGAGCGAAGAAGUAUUUCGGUAUGUAAAGCUCUAUCAGCAGGAACGAGACAAGACGGUACCUGAUUAAGAAGCCCCGGCUAACUACGUGCCAGCAGCCGCGGUAAUACGUAGGGGGCAAGCGUUAUCCGGAAUCACUGGGUGUAAAGGGAGCGUAGACGGCUGAGCAAGCCUGAGGUGAAAGGCGGGGGCCCAACCCCCGGACUGCUUUGGGAACUGUACGGCUGGAGUGCAGGAGAGGUAAGUGGAAUUCCUAGUGUAGCGGUGAAAUGCGUAGAUAUUAGGAGGAACACCAGUGGCGAAGGCGGCUUACUGGACUGUAACUGACGUUGAGGCUCGAAAGCGUGGGGAGCAAACAGGAUUAGAUACCCUGGUAGUC